UUGGAACACGAGAUCAAGAGACACGGUAGUGGCUCGCGCCAAGUGAAAGCGCAGCGCGAGCCCGACCGUGCUCUUUACGCGAGUACGCGACUUGCAAGCACUCGAGAUUAUUGAAUCUCAGAAACGGUUAAAUCGAUCGAGUUUCUAAGUAAGCUCAAUCGAAAGCUUGGGGUCGAUUUAUAUUAGAAAACUAUUUUUAUUUUUUCUCUACAUGUCCUAUGAAUGGAGAUAUCGCGACGCAAAGUCCGAAAAGCCAAAAUUUCAUUUAAGAUACGUCGUCGUCAUCGUCAACCUUGUUGGUAUCUCUGCGGGUAGUGCGGGUGCCGAAAAUGAGGGACGAAAAUCCAUUUCGCUCAUCUACUACCGUGUGGCGUUCGCAUCGUCACUAUAGCACCGUAUAUGGCAAUGUAUAAGUCACGUGGUCACCAGUGGCUCGCUCGCGCCGUGAAUUAGUUGUGUGAAGAUGAUAGGUUAUAUAUGAGGUCACAUAAGUUGCUUCGGCCACAGGUCAGCUCCUGUCAAGUGACAUGUGUAGUGGAGGUUAAAUUAUUUAUUUAAUGAUUUUAAUCAUUGACACCAAUAUAAAUUAAUUAAUUUCAGAGAGUAACAUAGCUCAGAUUUAUCGAUGAGGUAGAUGAGAUGUUGCGUGAUGUAAAAUGUGUAAUUAUUGUUGUAAUUUCAAUGAUAAUGUUGUAAGGAUAAUAAAGUAAAGAAUAAAAAUAGUAUAUUGAUUGAUUGACAAUUACAGCAACAUUUAUCCAAUACACAAUUCUUCUACAUCAUACAAUAUUUCAUCUCUCAUCGACACUAAUAUAAAAUUACAGAGCUAUUUUAUUUUAACAGGUCACAUAAGUUGCUUCGGCCACAGGUCAGCUCCUGUCAAGUGACAUGUGUAGUGGAGGUUAAAUUAUUUAUUUAAUGAUUUUAAUCAUUGACACCAAUAUAAAUUAAUUAAUUUCAGAGAGUAACAUAGCUCAGAUUUAUCGAUGAGGUAGAUGAGAUGUUGCGUGAUGUAAAAUGUGUAAUUAUUGUUGUAAUUUCAAUGAUAAUGUUGUAAGGAUAAUAAAGUAAAGAAUAAAAAUAGUAUAUUGAUUGAUUGACAAUUACAGCAACAUUUAUCCAAUACACAAUUCUUCUACAUCAUACAAUAUUUCAUCUCUCAUCGACACUAAUAUAAAAUUACAGAGCUAUUUUAUUUUUAAUUUUAACCGGUCACAUAAGUUGCUCUGGCCACAAGUCAGCUCCUGUUAAGUGACAUGUGUAGUGGAGGUUAAAUCAUUUAUUUAAUGAUUUUUAACAUCUCAUCUAUUUAAUCAUCGUUCAUUAAGAUUUUCCACUUGUGUCGAUGAAAUAAAUGAGAUUGACACAAAUGUAAAAUUAAAUAAUCAGAGAAUAACAUAGCUCAGAUUUUAUACUGGUGUUGAUGAGGUAGAUGAGAUGUUGCAUGAUGUAGAAAAUGUGUAUUAUUGCUGUAAUUGUCAAUCAUGUUAUAAGGAUAAGAACUAUCAUCAUCACCAAGGUAUUACUUUUGUCACCAAGAUACAAUUAUAUGUUACUAGUAAAGAAUAAAAUAGUAUUGUUAAAACCAUUUAUUUGAUUUGAAAUUUUGUUAGAUAAUUAAUAUUGAUUGACAAUUACAGCAACAUUUAACCAAUACACAAAUCUUCUACAUCAUACAUCUCAUUUCUCAUCGAUACUAAUGUAAAAUCAGAGAGCUAUUUUAUUUUAAUAAUCGGUUACGUAGGUUGCUCGGGCCACGGGUCAGCCCGUGUCAAGUGACAUAUGUAGUAUUGGUUAAAUCAUUUAUUUAAUGAUUUUUCAGGAAAUAUAUUAUUUAAAUUAAAUGAGUGACCAAACAUAAUUACCUUUUUAAAUAAAAAUGUAAAAAGGGCUCCAAGUGUGUGGGCUUCUUUAAGGGAAGACAGAAAUUCAAGAUAAUCGUUUUCAUCAAAUUCAACUUAGGCAUGGUUCCAAAACAUGCUCUAAAGAAAAAUUUUAUUUAAAAAUUUAUAGUAUUAUAUCCGUUAUAUAAACUUUAACUUCUUAGUAAAAUUUUUCUCAAAAAGAAAGUUUUAGAGUGUAACCUUAAGUGGUCUAUAAAACUAAGUAGUUUAUAAAAAAAUAUAAAAUGCGUGAUAUCC
rnacentral:lncRNA from 1 species